rnacentral:rRNA from 1 species
GAUGAACGCUGGCGGCGUGCCUAAUACAUGCAAGUAGAACGCUGAAGGAAGGAGCUUGCUCUUUCCGGGUGAGUUGCGAACGGGUGAGUAACGCGUAGGUAACCUGCCUGGUAGCGGGGGAUAACUAUUGGAAACGAUAGCUAAUACCGCAUAACAGUAGAUGUUGCAUGAUAUCUACUUAAAAGGUGCAAUUGCACCACUACCAGAUGGACCUGCGUUGUAUUAGCUAGUUGGUGAGGUAACGGCUCACCAAGGCGACGAUACAUAGCCGACCUGUGAGGGUGGUCGGCCCCACUGGGACUGGGACACGGCCCAGACUCCUACGGGAGGCAGCAGUAGGGGAUCUUCGGAAAUGGACGGAAGUCUGACCGAGCAACGCCGCGUGAGUGAAGAAGGUUUUCGGAUCGUAAAGCUCUGUUGUAAGAGAAGAACGAGUGUGAGAGUGGAAAGUUCACACUGUGACGGUAUCUUACCAGAAAGGGACGGCUAACUACGUG